rnacentral:lncRNA from 1 species
AGGAGAGGCAGUGAGGCACGAAUGUCUCAAAAUCAUCCUAGACAGGAGUGUUAUUAAUUUGGUAAGUAAUCUAUAUUUGCUGCUUUCACUUCUUCACCUCCCACUCAAUCCUUCACACCUCAU